GUUUGUAACUUUUGUCUGAUAAAAGAUAUUCAAGACUACUCUGUGCCAGAACUUCCUAAUAGGAACUCUCAGGCUUUCAGGAUUUCUCUCCUAAGACUUUCUACCAGAAUUUAUCCUUUAAUGCUAGCACUUGGGGUCUUCUUAUAGAAGAUUUGACAGAUUUUUUGCUUGGAGAUCAAGUAUCUUGAUGCUAAAGUAACUUAUCGGUGAAAUAGCUUGCUAGUGAAGUAUCUUGAGAAUGAAAUGACUUGUUG
rnacentral:lncRNA from 1 species